CGGUCUUGGCUCAACCCG
rnacentral:snRNA from 1 species